UACGUAGGCGGGAAAUUAAGUCAGUAGUGAAAUCCCACAGCUUAACUGUGGAACUGUUAUUGAUACUGGUUUUCUUGAAUAUAGUUGAGGUAGGCGGAACGUGUAAUGUAGCGGUGAAAUGCUUAGAUAUUACACAGAACACCGAUUGCGAAGGCAGCUUACUAAGCUAUGAUUGACGCUGAGGUACGAAAGCGUGGGGAGCGAACAGGAUUAGAUACCCUGGUAGUC
rnacentral:rRNA from 1 species